UUAGAAAGGGAAGCUAGCCGAACGGCAUGGGAAGGCCGUCCACAGAGGGUGAGAGACCCGUAGGCGAAAGCGGAACGGACGAGACUGUAUCCAGAGUACCGCCGGACACGUGAAACCCGGUGGGAACAAGGGAGGACCACCUUCCAAGCCUAAAUACUACCUGAUGACCGAUAGUGGAGCAGUACCGUGAGGGAAAGGUGAAAAGUACCCCGAGAGGGGAGUGAAAGAGAACCUGAAACCUUGUGCUUACAAGCACUCAGAGCGCGUUAAAGCGUGAUGAGGUACCUUUUGUAGAAUGGUCCGGCGAGUUAUAGUAACGAGCAAGGUUAAGCUAUUCAGUAGCGGAGCCGAAGGGAAACCGAGUCUUAAUAGGGCGUUAAGUUCGUUGCCAUAGACCUGAAACCGGGUGACCUAUCCAUGUCCAGGCUGAAGAUCAGGUAAAACUGAUUGGAGGGCCGAACACACGUUCGUUGCAAUGACCGGUGAUGAGGUGUGGAUAGCGGAGAAAUUCCAAUCGAACCCGGAGAUAGCUGGUUCUCCCCGAAAUAGCUUUAGGGCUAGCGUUGCGAUAGAUUACCGAAGGUAGAGCACUGAAUAGGCUAGGGGGCGAUGAGCUUACUGAACCUUAUCAAACUUCGAAUGUCGGAUAAUUGUUUCGCGGCAGUCAGACAGUGUGAGAUAAAUUUCAUUGUCAAAAGGGAAACAGCCCAGACCCACAGCUAAGGUCCCAAAUAUAUGCUAAGUGGAAAACGAUGUGGAUUUGCAAAAACAACCAGGAUGUUGGCUUAGAGGCAGCCACUCAUUAAAAGAGUGCGUAAUAGCUCACUGGUCGAGUGGAUCUGCGCGGAAAAUAUAACGGGGCUAAGCAUAUAACCGAAGCUUGGGAAGUCGAAUGACUUGGUAGGGGAGCGUCGUGUACCGGGGUGAAGCAUGAGCGGAAGCACGUGUGGACUGUACACGAGUGAGAAUGCCGGAAUGAGUAGCGAGAAUUAUGUGGGAAUCAUAAUGGCCGAAAAUCUAAGGUUUCCUGGGCAAGGUUCGUCCUCCCAGGGUAAGUCGGGAGCUAAGGCGAGGCCGAGAGGCGUAGUCGAUGCACAUACGGUUGAAAUUCCGUAACCACCGAAAGAUUUAAACACAGGGACACAUAGAGAUAGCGGGACCCCGGCGUUGGUUGACCGGGGCGCAAGGGACCGAACAUCAGUAGGGAAGUCCGCGAUGCUCUGUGGCGAGAAAAGCUGUGUGUAUAUCUUAGGUGCCCGUACCGCAAACCGACACAGGUAGAUGAGGAGAGAAUCCUAAGGCCAACGGGAGAAGGGUUGUUAAGGAACUCGGCAAAUUGACCCCGUAACUUUGGAAGAAGGGGAGCCCCCGUUUUGGGGGCCGCAGAGAAUAGGCCCAAGCAACUGUUUACCAAAAACACAGGUCUCUGCUAAGUCGAAAGACGACGUAUAGGGGCUGACGCCUGCCCGGUGCCGGAAGGUUAAGAGGAGAGCUUAGCGCAAGCGAAGGUUUGAAUUGAAGCCCCGGUAAACGGCGGCCGUAACUAUAACGGUCCUAAGGUAGCGAAAUUCCUUGUCAGGUAAGUUCUGACCCGCACGAAUGGCGUAAUGAUUUGGGC
rnacentral:rRNA from 1 species